rnacentral:rRNA from 1 species
AUGGGAGCUUGCUCCCUGAUGUUAGCGGCGGACGGGUGAGUAACACGUGGGUAACCUGCCUGUAAGACUGGGAUAACUCCGGGAAACCGGGGCUAAUACCGGAUGGUUGUUUGAACCGCAUGGUUCAAACAUAAAAGGUGGCUUCGGCUACCACUUACAGAUGGACCCGCGGCGCAUUAGCUAGUUGGUGAGGUAACGGCUCACCAAGGCAACGAUGCGUAGCCGACCUGAGAGGGUGAUCGGCCACACUGGGACUGAGACACGGCCCAGACUCCUACGGGAGGCAGCAGUAGGGAAUCUUCCGCAAUGGACGAAAGUCUGACGGAGCAACGCCGCGUGAGUGAUGAAGGUUUUCGGAUCGUAAAGCUCUGUUGUUAGGGAAGAACAAGUACCGUUCGAAUAGGGCGGUACCUUGACGGUACCUAACCAGAAAGCCACGGCUAACUACGUGCCAGCAGCCGCGGUAAUACGUAGGUGGCAAGCGUUGUCCGGAAUUAUUGGGCGUAAAGGGCUCGCAGGCGGUUUCUUAAGUCUGAUGUGAAAGCCCCCGGCUCAACCGGGGAGGGUCAUUGGAAACUGGGGAACUUGAGUGCAGAAGAGGAGAGUGGAAUUCCACGUGUAGCGGUGAAAUGCGUAGAGAUGUGGAGGAACACCAGUGGCGAAGGCGACUCUCUGGUCUGUAACUGACGCUGAGGAGCGA